rnacentral:rRNA from 1 species
GGCGCACGGGUGAGUAGCGCGUGGGAACCUGCCCUGUUGUGGGGGAUAACCGAGGGAAACUUCGGCUAAUACCGCAUGCGCCCGCGGAGUUGAUCUGCGGGGAAAGAUUUAUCGCAGCAGGAGGGGCCCGCGUCGGAUUAGCUGGUUGGCGGGGUAACGGCCCACCAAGGCGAUGAUCCGUAGCUGGUCUGAGAGGAUGAUCAGCCACACUGGGACUGAGACACGGUCCAGACUCAUACGGGAGGCAGCAGUGGGGAAUAUUGGACAAUGGGCGCAAGCCUGAUCCAGCAAUGCCGCGUGAGUGAUGAAGGCCUUCGGGUUGUAAAGCUCUUUCGCCCGCGACGAUGAUGACGGUAGCGGGAGAAGAAGCCCCGGCUAACUUCGUGCCAGCCGCCGCGG